rnacentral:rRNA from 1 species
GAUUAGAUACCCUGGUAGUCCACGCUGUAAACGAUGUCGAUUUGGAGGUUGUGCCCUUGAGGCGUGGCUUCCGGAGCUAACGCGUUAAAUCGACCGCCUGGGGAGUACGGCCGCAAGGUUAAAACUCAAAUGAAUUGACGGGGGCCCGCACAAGCGGUGGAGCAUGUGGUUUAAUUCGAUGCAACGCGAAGAACCUUACCUACUCUUGACAUCCAGAGAACUUAGCAGAGAUGCUUUGGUGCCUUCGGGAACUCUGAGACAGGUGCUGCAUGGCUGUCGUCAGCUCGUGUUGUGAAAUGUUGGGUUAAGUCCCGCAACGAGCGCAACCCUUAUCCUUUGUUGCCAGCGGUUCGGCCGGGAACUCAAAGGAGACUGCCAGUGAUAAACUGGAGGAAGGUGGGGAUGACGUCAAGUCAUCAUGGCCCUUACGAGUAGGGCUACACACGUGCUACAAUGGCAUAUACAAAGAGAAGCGACCUCGCGAGAGCAAGCGGACCUCAUAAAGUAUGUCGUAGUCCGGAUUGGAGUCUGCAACUCGACUCCAUGAAGUCGGAAUCGCUAGUAAUCGUAGAUCAGAAUGCUACGGUGAAUACGUUCCCGGGCCUUGUACACACCGCCCGUCACACCAUGGGAGUGGGUUGCAAAAGAAGUAGGUAGCUUAACCUUCGGGAGGGCGCUUACCACUUUGUGAUUCAUGACUGGGGUGAAGUCGUAACAAGGUACCAAGGGCGAA